rnacentral:rRNA from 1 species
CACGUGAGUAACCUGCCCUUGGCUCUGGGAUAAGCGCUGGAAACGGCGUCUAAUACUGGAUAUAACCCCUUGUCGCAUGGUGGGGGUGGAAAGAUUUUUGGUCCAUGGAUGGGCUCGCGGCCUAUCAGCUUGUUGGUGAGGUAGUGGCUCACCAAGGCGACGACGGGUAGCCGGCCUGAGAGGGUGACCGGCCACACUGGGACUGAGACACGGCCCAGACUCCUACGGGAGGCAGCAGUGGGGAAUAUUGGACAAUGGGCGCAAGCCUGAUCCAGCCAUGCCGCGUGAGUGAUGAAGGCC